AGAGUUUGUGUGCGCGUGAAGGGCACCUUUAACCAGCAACCGCACCGGCCACGGAACACCGGGGUGAGCGAAGCGAUGCCUUUAAGUACACCAUCACCACCACCGCCAGCAGCCAUCCUUCGCCGUGUGCAUGUGAGUGUGCGUGGGGUGGCAGGGCCAAGUAAAACGAUGUGAAGAACUCCAUCUUCGCCAGCAGCCCGCAAGAGAACUGGAACUGACAGUGGCGCCAAUUAUCUCCGUGUCAAUUUCUCCCAAAGUGCCACGCACGGCAAGGAGUCAGGUUUAAAGCCUUGGCCACGGGUGGCCCCUCUGGUAACGAGUGUCAAAUUAUCAGCCAGCGCCCAGCCGGGCCCGGGUCGUUUUAGUGUGUUUGCGUAGCACGCCUCGGGCGCCAGCGAGAGAUAGUGUCCAUCGUCGGCGGUAGCACCGGGGCGCCAUGUUUAUCUUUCUGCUGUUUGCCUCCGACGGGUGUCGGAAUGUGUGCCAAAUCUUUUCGCACCGUUUGGUGGCGCACCUGCGGAACCACCGCCGCAAGGCGGCCGAACGCCGGGCCCAGGUCGAGGUGGAAGCGAAGCAAAGCCCGACCGCACCGUCGUCGCCGCGCUGGCGAACCGGCAUAAGGACCUGGAUCAAGUGUGUCUGUGCGUGUGCCUGUGUCGGCGGUGGCGACGUCGGCGGCCGGCAGUGCAGCAGCUUCGAGGAGUCGGACACCGUGCGGACGCUGGGCAAGUUGUUCCUGAAGCUGGCCCAUCAAGCAUGAAGGAACACUGGGGCACUGAGAGACUGGCUAUUUAAAGCCCAACGCGCGACUUGAAGACGGAGGACGCUGCUAAGAAAUUCAUUGGUGAUAUUAUCUGCUUCACUCUAGUUUCUUGCUAAUCCUAACCCAUCGUUGGAAUUGCUCCCCCCCGGCUUCGCUCCGGUUCCCGACGGGCUUCCCAUGCGUACGAACUGGACCGGGCUGUUUCGAAGCGUAAAUGUUGGAAAACAAUUGAAAUAGAAUUUGCGAAAUAAAAAUUACGCC